rnacentral:rRNA from 1 species
AGUGAACGCUGGCGGUAGGCCUAACACAUGCAAGUCGAACGGCAGCACAGUAAGAGCUUGCUCUUACGGGUGGCGAGUGGCGGACGGGUGAGGAAUACAUCGGAAUCUACUUUUUCGUGGGGGAUAACGUAGGGAAACUUCCGCUAAUACCGCAUACGACCUACGGGUGAAAGCAGUGGAUCUUCGGACCUUGCGCGUUUGAAUGAGCCGAUGUCGGAUUAGCUAGUUGGCGGGGUAAAGGCCCACCAAGGCGACGAUCCGUAGCUGGUCUGAGAGGAUGAUCAGCCACACUGGAACUGAGACACGGUCCAGACUCCUACGGGAGGCAGCAGUGGGGAAUAUUGGACAAUGGGCGCAAGCCUGAUCCAGCCAUACCGCGUGGGUGAAGAAGGCCUUCGGGUUGUAAAGCCCUUUUGUUGGGAAAGAAAAGCAGCAGGUUAAUACCCCGCUGUUCUGACGGUACCCAAAGAAUAAGCACCGGCUAACUUCGUG